CAGCUGGAUAAGGUGGAUGGGUUCUGCCAAAACAGACAGAUGGAUGAGGUGGAUGGGGUCCCCCAAGACAGAGAGCUGGAUGAGGUGGAUGGGGUCCCCCAGGACAGACAGCUGGAUCAGGUAGAUGGGGUCCCACAGGACAGACAGCUGGAUGAGGUGGAUGGGGUCCCCCAGGACAGACAGCAGGAUAAGGUGGUUGAGGUACCU